CAGCCGCCGCGGGAACACGGAGGGGGCUAGCGUUGUUCGGAAUUACUGGGCGUAAAGCGCACGUAGGCGGCUUGGUAAGUUAGAGGUGAAAGCCUGGAGCUCAACUCCAGAAUUGCCUUUAAGACUGCCGAGCUAGCAGGUGAGAGAGGUAAGUGGAAUUCCGAGUGUAGAGGUGAAAUUCGUAGAUAUUCGGAAGAACACCAGUGGCGAAGGCGGCUUACUGGCUCAUACUGGACGCUGAGGUGCGAAAGCGUGGGGAGCAAACAGGAUUAGAUACCCGCGUAGUCCCUGUCUCUUAUAC
rnacentral:rRNA from 1 species